AAUUUGAAAUCUGGCCUUCGGGUCCGAGUUGUAAUUUGUAGAGGAUGCUUUUGGUGCAGUGCCUUCCGAGUUCCUUGGAACAGGACGCCUUAGAGGGUGAGAGCCCCGUACGGUUGGACACUAAGCCUCUGUAAAGCUCCUUCGACGAGUCGAGUAGUUUGGGAAUGCUGCUCUAAAUGGGAGGUAAAUUUCUUCUAAAGCUAAAUACCGGCCAGAGACCGAUAGCGCACAAGUAGAGUGAUCGAAAGAUGAAAAGUACUUUGAAAAGAGGGUUAAAUAGCACGUGAAAUUGUUGAAAGGGAAGCGUUUAUGACCAGACCUUUGCCGGGCGGAUCAUCCGGUGUUCUUCACCGGUGCACUUCGCUCGGCUUAGGCCAGCAUCGAUUUCGGCAGGGGGACAAAGACCAUGGGAACGUAGCUCUCUUCGGGGAGUGUUAUAGCCCUAGGUGUAAUACCCUUGCGGGGAUCGAGGUUCGCGCUUCUGCAAGGAUGCUGGCGUAAUGGUCAUCAACGACCCGUCUUGAAACACGGACCAAGGAGUCGAACAUUUAUGCGAGUGUUUGGGUGUUAAACCCUCACGCGUAAUGAAAGUGAACGGAGGUGAGAGCCCUCUUUUGGGUGCAUCAUCGACCGAUCCUGAUGUAUUCGGAAGGAUUUGAGUAAGAGCAUAACUGUUCGGACCCGAAAGAUGGUGAACUAUGCGUGGAUAGGGUGAAGCCAGAGGAAACUCUGGUGGAGGCUCGCAGCGGUUCUGACG
rnacentral:rRNA from 1 species